GCCUUCAUGAAGCUGGAAUUGCUAGUAAUGGCAGGUCAGCAUACUGCCGUGAAUACGUUCCCGGGCCUUGUACACACCGCCCGUCACACCAUGAGAGUUGGAAAUACCCGAAGCCUGUGAGCUAACUUAAAGAGGCAGCAGUCGAAGGUAGAGCCAAUGAUUGGGGUGAAGUCGUAACAAGGUAAC
rnacentral:rRNA from 1 species